rnacentral:tRNA from 1 species
GGGCUGGGGCUCAGUGGUAGAGCACUUGCCUGGCAUGUGUGAGGCACUGGGUUCGAUCCUCAGCACCACA